rnacentral:rRNA from 1 species
UCAUGUAAUGAUUUCUCAGUGGUCUUAUGCACUCGGGCUAGAGUAGUACUAGGAUGGGUGACCUCCCGGGAAGUCCUAGUGUUUUACAUGCC